rnacentral:rRNA from 1 species
CCUACGGGUGGCAGCAGUGAGGAAUAUUGGUCAAUGGCCGAGAGGCUGAACCAGCCAAGUCGCGUGAGGGAAGAAUGUCCUAUGGAUUGUAAACCUCUUUUGUCAGGGAGCAAAGUCACCCACGUGUGGGUGUUGGAGAGUACCUGAAGAAAAAGCAUCGGCUAACUCCGUGCCAGCAGCCGCGGUAAUACGUAGGGAGCAAGCGUUAUCCGGAUUUACUGGGUGUAAAGGGCGUGUAGGCGGGCAUGCAAGCCAGAAGUGAAAUCUUGGGGCUUAACCCCCAAACUGCUUUUGGAACUGCGUGUCUUGAGUGAUGGAGAGGCAGGCGGAAUUCCCAGUGUAGCGGUGAAAUGCGUAGAUAUUGGGAGGAACACCAGUGGCGAAGGCGGCCUGCUGGACAUUAACUGACGCUGAGGCGCGAAAGCGUGGGGAGCAAACAGGAUUAGAUACCCUAGUAGUC